rfam:Schistosoma haematobium scaffold439_2, whole genome shotgun sequence.
AUCUAACUGACGAGUCCUAAAUAGGACGAAACACGCGUCAAAAUGGAU